AUACAUGCGACUGACAAAUAGUAUCAUACACAUGCCCGCACCCCGGAAAUACUUGCAUAUAUGUCGAUACCCAAGAGCAGCCUUUAAACUAAGUACGUGGAAGAAGAUUCCUUAUAUAUAUAUAGGUAAUGAAAUAUAAUGGCAAUUAAUAAAACUGAAAAUUAGAUGAUUUAUAAAUGAUUUGCAUGAUAAUAUAUGGAAUUAAGGUUAAGAACAUCCACUUAUAGGAAUGAAUGAAAGAAAAGCCAUUCUAUGAGCACUUUUGUUCUAGUUAAAUAUUGCCAAGAGUACUUCUGGGCGUACGGCUAGAUUUAGAAGAUUAGGCUAAAGACAUCGAGAAAACUGACAACCCCUAAUUCUAGCAUCGAUCCAUGAAACUUAACCUUCUGUGUUACAAGUGAUCUGUGAACAUGAUAACAAGUUGUAAAUCGUUAUAAAUCGUUAUAUAUAUAUAUAUAGGUACGUACGUAGAAUAACAGCUAGUUUCCUAGAACUUAACAGAUGACCAAUAAGUAAAAAAUGAAUUUGAAAGUAGGAUAUGCUUAUCUUUGAUCUGCAAUUAAUUAAACAACCCAAACUGAUUUGCUCCUAUUAUGGCGCCAUAUCAUCUCUAUGUUUCUUGCUUUGCAUUUGUUCGCUUAUUACAACGACCCUGAUUGUUAAAGAUGCCUUGAAUUGGGCAUGCUCCAUCGGGGGGGGCAUCACGUCCAUUUGGACGGUUCAUUAAGCGAAUUCGCACUAAAUAGUUUUUUCUUUCCUUCUGGAUGGAUGGGGUUCAUCUCAUACUCUUCGUUCAUAGAUAUACGUUCAAGCUCACGCUUAGACGAAAUGAUGUAAAAUUAUGUUUCUUUUGUGUGCUUGCUUGUUGGAUUGUCAUAACACUGAUGAACAAGAGGAGGAGAAUCCUUUUCACAUAUUAACAAAAUUUCUUUUGCUGAGAAAAAAAAAAAAACAAGAGGAGAAGAAGAAAGAACUAAGAAAGGAGCUAUUGUUAAAGCGAUUAAUAUUCCCAAAUGAAGAGGGAAAAAGAGGAUAAGGAUCAUGCAUGAUUCAACUUCUUGGGCUCAUUUUGAUUGAAACCAUUAUACCCGGAGGACAUGAUUGGAUUUUCCCAUCCAGCUCCAAAGGCAAAAGCCGAAGGAUGAGACAUCAAAGAAUCAGAAGAACCAGUAGCAGCGGGAGCAGCGGGAGCAGGAGCAGUAAUCCCAAUAUUACUACUCAUUUGGUGCAAAUGAUGGUUUUGAGCACUGAACACGUCUUCAUUGAUCAGUGAGUUCAAGAAAGAAGACAUGAAGACAUCAUCGGCACCGUAGUUGAUUUCGUCGUCUUCUUGUUCCUCAUUUCCAGAAACAACAUCACCAUUCUGCAAAUUAACACUGCCGUGGUAAUACCCAUCAUUUCCGUUAUUGAGAACUUGAUCAUCUUCCAAA